UCAAAAACAUGUCCUUUUGUAAAUAAUUUAAGGUCUAGCCUGCCCACUGAUAUUUUAAAUGGCCGUGGUAUUUUGACCGUGCUAAGGUAGCAUAAUCAUUAGUUUUUUAAUUAAAAACUGGAAUGAAAGGUUGGAUGAGAAAAUAGCUGUCUCUAUUAAAUUUAAUUAGAAUUUUAUUUUUAAGUUAAAAAGCUUAAUUGUUAUUAAAAGACGAGAAGACCCUAUAGAGUUUAAUUAUUUAAUAAAAAUUAUAUUUUAGUAUUAAUUUAUUUAUUUUAUUGAAUAAUUUAAUUGGGGUGAUUGAAAAAUUUAAUUAACUUUUUUUAUUUAAGAACAUUAAUUUAUGAAUAAAUGAUCCAAUAUUUUUGAUUAUAAGAUAAAAUUACCUUAGGGAUAACAGCGUAAUUUUUUUAGAAAGUUCAUAUUAAAAAAAAAGAUUGCGACCUCGAUGUUGGAUUAAAAUAAAUUUUUGGUGUAGAAGCUAAAAUAUUAGGUCUGUUCGACCUUUAAAAUUUUACAUGAUCUGAG
rnacentral:rRNA from 1 species